GCUGCCGGCUGAGCCCCGCUGCUCGGUCACACAGAACGGCGGCCGCCGGGACCUGCUCCCUCGUAAGGGCUGGGGAGGAGAGCAGCGAGUGGCCGGAUAAAUACGGGGGAGGAGAAGGGCGUCUCUCCUCUCCCCACCUCCCUCCAUCUCCUCCCUCCCCCCCGCCGCGGAGGGCGCGCUUGGAACUGCCUCUGUCUGUCCGGGCGCCCGGGGCGUCUCCGCGCCCUUCCGCGGUGCGGUGCGCGCAGGCUGGGUGCGGGAGGCGGCUGAAGGUGAAGCUCUCGCUCUCCAAUUACUUUUCCCAAGACAGAGAAGGAGGCAGCAGGAGGGGGAAGUCGUGCUGUGUGUGGAAGGCACACCAAUCAGAGAUGCUCUAACGGAGGGACUGCUGCAGGACGCGCCGCUUCUCCUCCUUCCUCUGCCGGCGGGGCUGAACCGGGACCACGCGCAGCUGGCGUAGGGACCGGAGCCGUACUGGGCUGCAGGACUUAUCCAUCUCUGCUUUUGCAAUAGCUCGACCAUACUUCGACCUCUCUAUUUUUUUCCUUUUUUUUUUAAUACUCUGAAAUCGUGCACAAGAAACACUUCAAGUCUUCUCUCCAUUCCCAGUUACUUCACCCUUCCUCUAGCAUCUCUUAGCUGGAUUCCUGGUGUAUUCCCAGAGAGGCGGGGUGAGAGAGCCGGGCCCCGCGGACGGCUGCUGCCCCAGCCCGGCCGAGCCGAGGGGAGCCGGGCGGAGCGCGGCACGGCGCCGCUCCAUGCCCCCGAGCGCUGGCGGGGCGCGGGGCGUGUGCCGGCGAUGCCCGGGCGGUAAGGCUGGAGCUCCCCCCGGACGGGAGGCGGCCGAUCGCUAGGCAUUUCUAGCAAGAAUCGGGACUGCAGGAUGAAUAAGAGAUACUUACAGAAAGCAACAAAAGGAAAACUGCUAAUAAUAAUAUUUGUCGUAACACUGUGGGGGAAAUUAGCAUCUGGGGCAAAUCAUCAUAAAGCUCACCAUGUUAAAACUGGGACCUGUGAAGUGGUGGCGCUUCACAGAUGCUGCAAUAAGAAUAAGAUAGAAGAAAGAUCACAGACAGUGAAGUGUUCCUGCUUCCCUGGGCAGGUAGCAGGUACCACCCGGGCAGCUCCUUCUUGUGUUGAUGCUUCAAUAGUGGAGCAGAAAUGGUGGUGCCACAUGCAACCAUGUCUUGAAGGGGAGGAAUGUAAAGUUCUUCCAGAUCGUAAGGGAUGGAGCUGUUCCUCUGGGAAUAAAGUGAAAACAACUAGGGCAAACGUGUAAAACCCCUCAAGUCCGAAUGGAGAAGUAGAGAAAGGAGGUUUCUGCUGUGCCUGAUGACAAUUUUUCUUUUUUCCACACAUAAAAAAUAUUCUGGCUCCACGUUGGAGCACUAGUUGUGAUGAAUCCUAGUCUUGGUCGGAUUCUAAGGAAGGGCCAGAACGUUCGUUGAGGAAUAAAGAGUCAAACCACUCCAGAAAAUGUGUUCCAGCCCCGCUUUAUUGCUCGCAGAGCAGCAGGUAACCCGAUAGCUAAAGACAAAUCAAGCCAGUCUCAAGGCUGAUAACAUACAACACAUAGGAAUUUCAUUCCUCCAGGCAAUCCUUGAAGUGAAAUUUUAUACUGCUGGGGUGUAUCCUUCAGAAUCAAUUGUUUCAAUGAGAACCUGGCUUGCAAUCAGCAACAGCCUUGAGAUCAAAACUACUGGAAAGUUAUUUUGAACUUCUGUGUCACAAAUAUUUCAACUGAUUGAACUGUGUACACUUGUAAAAUUGCACUUGCUGAGGAAUUUGCAGCUGUAAUCAUGAGCUAAUAUUCUAAAGGUGCAGAAAAGCAGCAAACUUUUGGGUUCUCCAUUGCAAAUCAGUGGCUUUUCAUCUUGAAGUCAAACUCUGAAAUGUAUUGGAUCCUUCACUCUAAAAUGAUCCUUGGUGCACUGUUCAGAUUGCUGGCGGGACUGCACACUGCUUUAAUUAAAUUUCUGUUGCAGAAAUUGUCCUCGAGCAUGGCGCAGUUUUAGACAUUUUUGUGUUCUAAUCUUGCAGGUCUUAAAGCUACAUAUUUCAACAUCUUGAAGUUGCUUUGUUAUAGGAAUGGAAUUAUAUAACCAUUGCUAAUAAUUAUUGUUGACAAAUAAUAGUUAUCUGAAUACAUCAGUCAUAUUAGAAUGUAUAGUCAGGUUGACAUGUUUCCCUAAGGCUAACCAACUACUGCAGUUUAACAGUUAAAGAAAGUAGUGGUCAAAACUCAAUUACUACUUCCAUCAUAAGGCAUUUUAUAUCUUUAAUAUAUAUAUUUCCAUUUAGUUUGAGGGAAAUGAGUGUUCCCAAUAUGUACUUUACUUUCUUAACCUUUGAUUCAUUUAAAUUCAUGGUAAACAGUCAAUUCCACUAUUUCAUCCCUUUUAUACAAAAGUAGGCAGGGAUGUAAAUGAGUUUUGCAGUUAUGAUAUUGGAUGGUAAUCAUUCAGAAUUUUUGUCUUUUUAUUAAAAAAAAUAUCUCUUGCUUGAACUUAAAUACUGAUGGAUGCUUAUGUAGAUGUUUGCUCAGUCUGUGUGACAUAAAGGAAAAAAGUCCUAGCACUCUCCCAGUUUUACACUUCAUGGAUAUUUUGCCUGCGUACAGUCAUCCAAUUCAGAUCUGUUUUGUUUUGUUAGAAAGUUUUGAACUUUUCAGUGUGUUGUUACAUGAAAAAAAUCCUCAAUAUUUGAAGGCCUUAAGCAUCUUUGAGAUUUUUUCUAAGUUAUUACAGAAUGUAUAAUUUUAUACUCCAUUUAAUGUAUAUUGGACCAUCUGUAAUGUUGAUACAAAAGAAAUUUGGCAAUUCCUUUUAGUGACACUGCAUAAACACACUGACUAGAGGGAGUUCUGACUGUAUGCUUUGGUGAAUUGAAAUGAAAGCCACACGCACUUAAUGGUAGUCAAAAAUACAUAGAGAUAAGCUUGUUUAAGUCCUGUGUGGUUACCAAACACAGCAAAAAACCCCAAAAAAUAGAAAAAAAAAGAAAAAAGGAAUAGAAUGAAAUGGUUUAAUCAUUGUAAGCCAUUGACAUGGCUAGUUUAGUUAUAUAUUAAGUUUUGUGAUGGAUGAACACCUUGGCAAGCUCUGCCUGUCACUGUAGCCCCCGCUGUUCCAAAACCAUUUCAUUACUGCUGCUGUAUUAUUGCACGGGAGAGCUUAAAUAAAAUAAAUGACUUUUGGGAAUAAAACUGAGAAGUAUAUUCUAUCAUUUUGCUAGGAAAUAAUAAGAAAUAUGUUGACAGAAAAAGAUCUUAUUUUCUGAUUAAAAUUUAAUUAGAAUAAACUGUUUGUAGCAGAAACGAAGUCUCUUGGUAUUUUAGGAUGGAUUAGUAUUAUAUGGAUUUGUGCUAAGAGGUUCAGGAUGGAAGGUAGCAUCUUAAAGAGGUUGUCUGGGACAGUGCAAAGCAUAAAUGUGCUGUUUUGUAAAAUUUAAAUAUUACCUCUAUUUGGUUGAAAAUCUACAUCAUGCUUCUCAAUACUAGUUUUCUUUGUUUCCUUGUUCUUAAACAGCGCUGAAAAUAAUGUAUUAUAUACAAGUGUAACACAUGCAUACCAAUAAAUGAAAAUAAAUGGAUUUUCAAAUAUACUGAA